rnacentral:rRNA from 1 species
GGGCAGCCAAGCAGGGAAUGGAUAAGCGCUGAAAGCAUCUAAGUGCGAAGCCAUCCCCAAGAUAAGAUCUGCGGUAGAUAAGACCCCUUGAAGACUACAAGGAAAUAGGCUGGGUAUGGAAGUUUCGUGAGAAAUGAAGUUGGCCAGUACUAAUCGGUCGAAAGCUUAAUCUA